GAACACUUUAGCAAAUGUUGAAGGAAAUGAAUAUGAAAACAUUCACCACCACAAAGCCAGAAGAAGGCCUGGGUUUAUUGGUUCAUAUGGCAAGAGAGCAAUUAAGCAAAAGAAAAGAGACAAAAAAAAGUUCAAGAGAAUAGAGGAAAAAGAGAACAGUAAAUAUGAAUUGCAGGAAUCCACAAAAACCAACCCCAGAUGAAUUUGUACACAGGGAAACUGUUUAACAGCUUUCCCACAUCUGGGGUUUAAGGUAUCUAACCAUUUUGCAACUAAGAUGUCGGUUUCGAUGAUUCUACUGCAGCCUUACAGAUAGGGCACCAGUUCUUGAGCUUAAACCACUGCUUUAUGCACUCCAUAUGAUACCCGUGUUCACAACCCAGGUUCCCUAUUUCAUCUCCGAUCACGUACUCCUCCUGACAAAUGCUGCACUUGAUGUCAUCUCCAUCCUCAUCAGCUUCUAGUGUUUCUGUUUCUGAAGCCAUACCCUGAUAAAUGUUUCUCCUGAGGCACUUUGAUAGUUCUUCCUCGGGCAGAGCGGUACUAACAGAGCCAAUCCUCUCCUCAAGUGCUAAUAAUUCCUCAUAGGACAUGUCAUCAAUAUCUAGUCUCAUGUCUCUAUGCUGG
rnacentral:misc_RNA from 1 species